rfam:Schistosoma haematobium scaffold803_18, whole genome shotgun sequence.
AUCUAACUGAUGAGUCUCAAAUAGGACGAGACGUGUGUGCUGGAU